rnacentral:tRNA from 1 species
GAAGGUAUAGCUCAAGCACCAGAGCACGUGCCUAGCAUGCACAAAGUCCUGGGUUCAAUCCCCAGGACCUCCU